rnacentral:rRNA from 1 species
GUCGAGCGAACAGAUAAGGAGCUUGCUCCUUUGACGUUAGCGGCGGACGGGUGAGUAACACGUGGAUAACCUACCUAUAAGACUGGGAUAACUUCGGGAAACCGGAGCUAAUACCGGAUAACAUAUUGAACCGCAUGGUUCAAUAGUGAAAGGCGGCUUUGCUGUCACUUAUAGAUGGAUCCGCGCCGUAUUAGCUAGUUGGUAAGGUAACGGCUUACCAAGGCAACGAUACGUAGCCGACCUGAGAGGGUGAUCGGCCACACUGGAACUGAGACACGGUCCAGACUCCUACGGGAGGCAGCAGUAGGGAAUCUUCCGCAAUGGGCGAAAGCCUGACGGAGCAACGCCGCGUGAGUGAUGAAGGUCUUCGGAUCGUAAAACUCUGUUAUCAGGGAAGAACAAAUGUGUAAGUAACUGUGCACAUCUUGACGGUACCUGAUCAGAAAGCCACGGCUAACUACGUGCCAGCAGCCGCGGUAAUACGUAGGUGGCAAGCGUUAUCCGGAAUUAUUGGGCGUAAAGCGCGCGUAGGCGGUUUUUUAAGUCUGAUGUGAAAGCCCACGGCUCAACCGUGGAGGGUCAUUGGAAACUGGAAAACUUGAGUGCAGAAGAGGAAAGUGGAAUUCCAUGUGUAGCGGUGAAAUGCGCAGAGAUAUGGAGGAACACCAGUGGCGAAGGCGACUUUCUGGUCUGUAACUGACGCUGAUGUGCGAAAGCGUGGGGAUCAAACAGGAUUAGAUACCCUGGUAGUCCACGCCGUAAACGAUGAGUGCUAAGUGUUAGGGGGUUNNCGCCCCUUAGUGCUGCAGCUAACGCAUUAAGCACUCCGCCUGGGGAGUACGACCGCAAGGUUGAAACUCAAAGGAAUUGAC